UAUCACCAAGACUUGACGUUCAAAAUGAUUGCAACAACGAUUAUUAUUUUCCAUGCAGCUAAGUGGCUGUAUAGCAACUACUUAGCACCGCGACCAAGAGUUCGUGUAAUCAUUAACCCCAAUGAUCCAGGAAGUUCGGUUGACCCCCCGCAAUUCGACAUCAACAGAAUCCACAGAGGCCCGGAUGGAGAUCAUAAUUAGUAUGAUUAAGGCUGUACCAUACUGGAACGCACGGAGGAAACUGGAUCGCGCGGAGAAUUUCAAAGUUGAAUAUCCCCUACAUUCGCACUUUGUAGAACCUAUUGGUUGGACAUUGCACGAGCAGUCAUACGUGUAAGAUCCAAGUACAUGAGUGGCUAUGAUGAACUGCAUCGAUCACUUUGAGACCCUGUUCUGAAGCACCUGGAUGGAUUAUUUCAGAAUUUAAUACAUCUGUUCUCCGAGUACGAAAAUAAUGAUAAGUUUGGUAAAAUAACAGAAUUAAUGGAGUUUAGUGUAUUUA